rnacentral:rRNA from 1 species
AACGAACGCUGGCGGCAGGCCUAACACAUGCAAGUCGAGCGAACCUUCGGGUUAGCGGCGGACGGGUGAGUAACGCGUGGGAACGUACCCUCUUCUGCGGGAUAGCCACUGGAAACGGUGAGUAAUACCGCAUACGCCCUUUGGGGGAAAGAUUUAUCGGAGGAGGAUCGGCCCGCGUUGGAUUAGGUAGUUGGUGGGGUAAUGGCCUACCAAGCCUACGAUCCAUAGCUGGUUUUAGAGGAUGAUCAGCCACACUGGGACUGAGACACGGCCCAGACUCCUACGGGAGGCAGCAGUGGGGAAUCUUAGACAAUGGGCGCAAGCCUGAUCUAGCCAUGCCGCGUGAGUGACGAAGGCCUUAGGGUCGUAAAGCUCUUUCGCCAGAGAUGAUA